AUUGAACGCUGGCGGCAGGCCUAACACAUGCAAGUCGAACGGUAACAGGGAUCAGCUUGCUGAUUCGCUGACGAGUGGCGGACGGGUGGGUAAUGUCUGGGAAACUGCCUGAUGGAGGGGGAUAACUACUGGAAACGGUAGCUAAUACCGCAUAACGUCGCAAGACCAAAGAGGGGGACCUUCGGGCCUCUUGCCAUCGGAUGUGCCCAGAUGGGAUUAGCUAGUAGGUGGGGUAACGGCUCACCUAGGCGACGAUCCCUAGCUGGUCUGAGAGGAUGACCAGCCACACUGGAACUGAGACACGGUCCAGACUCCUACGGGAGGCAGCAGUGUGGUAUAUUGCACAAUGGGCGCAAGCCUGAUGCAGCCAUGGCGCGUGUAUGAAGAAGGCCUUCGGGUUGUAAAGUACUUUCAGCGGGGAGGAAGGGAGUAAAGUUAAUACCUUUGCUCAUUGACGUUACCCGCAGAAGAAGCACCGGCUAACUCCGUG
rnacentral:rRNA from 1 species